rnacentral:misc_RNA from 1 species
UGACCUCGCAUGACCCAAAAUGGCAGCAUCCAUAUGAAAUAUCUAAACCUUACGUGGCACAACCGAAAUUCUUUACGUAUUUCGCGACCUCACGGCGGAUUAUCUUCUACAAAACCAUCACAACACAUUAGUGCAAGACUCCAACACGUGAACAUAUUGCAACUGUGUGAUGUUCAGCAUGCGAAACGCAUCUUAAUGAUGCCGACAGUACUCGGCCAUCUUCAGUUCGUCUCACAUUGAAUGCUACCAUAUAUUAUAAGGAGGUGUAAUAAUCCACGAUGAAAGUGACAAGAACUGUACUGAUAGUGUGCCUGUUAACUACCUUGCACAUCCACAUUCAGUUAACUGAAGCUCAGGGUGCACGAUCACAAGCUCAGUCAAAACAAACUGGUACGGGAGGAAACAGAGGUAGUUACCAUGCAGGGGAUGAUGAGGAGGACCUUGAUGAUUAUGAAGACCUUGAAGACUUUGAAGAAGGUAGGAAGUCUUUACCUCCCGAGAAGCAGGCUCCAGUAGGUUCCCAAUCUGCCUCCCAGUCUUCUUCCCAGUCCUCAUCCCAGUCAGAUCCCAGACAAUCCCAGACUCACCAGGCAGCACAGCAUAAACCACCACCUCUACCUCCACCCCAUCAACCUCCUCCUGUUCACCAAGCCCAUGUCCCUCCAUCACAACAACAACCUCAUCAUGAACCUAGUACACAAGCCCCCAAAGCCCAAAGCCCAGACCAGAUAACCAAGGAAGUCCCUCCGGCAAGCCAGGUUUCACCAGACAAUGUACAAGGAAGCCCACAUUCUUCCUUAGAAAGCUCUCACUCAUCCCAAACAGCAGAUCGUGCCUCUCAGUCUUCUCAAAGUUCUCAUGCUUCUCCUGCCAAUCCUGAAUCUUCUGGGGGGUUUGAGCCCUCCUCCCACUCCCAACAUCCGGACAUCCCUCCACAUCAGCAGCUCCCCCAGAGUUCUCAGCUCCCAGAUGGAGGGCAAGGACAGGAAGAUGCUCAGCUUCGACAGGAAGAUGGGGCUGGAGUUUCCUCUACACAGGCAUUGAGAGCAGAUGGCAACAUUGAGGAUCAUGUUUCCAGGACUACCAACAUAGAUAGUGACAAACCUGACAAAGAAGAACAAUGGCCCUAUGUUCUUGAAAUGAAGAGGCAACAGUAUAUCGUCAUUGAGACUCAGGGGCAGGGUGAGAGACGAAAUGAAGUUGAAUCAAAGGAGCAAGAUGAAGGUCCUCAAGAAACCCUGGAAGAAGUUGAACAACAGACCCUUGAAGAAGAUGAACUUCAGAUUCUAGAGGAAGAUGAACUUGAGACGCUAGAAGAAGAUGAAAACCAGGCAGAUAUGGAAGAAUUGCAUGAUCAGCAGAAAGUAAAUCUUAUCGAAUCUGAAGAAGAAGAUGAAGUCAAGGACACUGGCUAUAUUCCAAUAAGGCAGCGGCAGUGGUUUUCUGACACCCUACCACCCAAGUCCUCGAGGACAGCCAAGGACAAUUCACAGAAGGUGAAGGUUGAGCAUCGACUAGAAAAAACAGCCAAGCCACUCACAGUCGAAAAACUACCCAGGCCUUAUGACAGGAAAAGCAUGGACAUGACCACAGUGAAGCGCAUCUACACUACCACAGAGACAACUUCAAAGAAGACUCAACUGCUGUUCAAACCUGAUGAGUUUGGAUUUGUUAAGAUGACAACAUACAUUCAGAAGAUCCUGUCAGAUGGAACAGUCCACACUGAGUUCUGGACUGAGGUCGUGGAACACAUCCCAGAGCUUGUUACACACAAGGAUCAGUUAAUCGCAGAAAUGGCUCGGCUGAAAGAUGAGGAAGAUGAGGAUCUGCCUGAAGAAGAGCCUUUAGUGGAAAUUGAACUUACACCAGAAGAGAAAGAAGCUGAAGAAAUGUACCAGCAAGGUCAAGCUUUGAUCAAUGGCACAUUCUCAAAGGACUACACACGAGCAUACAUCCAUUUCCUGAAAGCUGCCCAGAAGAACCACACAAAGUCAUUGGAGCAGGUCGCUUUUGGCCAUCUGUUCGGGGACUACCUGCCUCACAAUCUGUCCCGAGCCAAGGAGAUAUUCGAAGACCUGUCUCAGAGGGGGUCCCCUACAGGCCAGUUGGGUCUUGGCUUCCUGUACAGUGCGGGGCUUGGUGUCAAUUCAACUCAAGCGAGGUCUCUGAUCUACUUCACUUUCGGAGCUCUGGGCGGGGACCCAAUGGCGCAGAUGGCAAUGGGUUACCGCUACUGGGCAGGAGUUGGAGUGGAGGCCAAGUGUGAGUCCGCCCUCACCCACUACAAGAAGGUGGCCAGCACAGUGGCAGACAGUGUGUCUCUGUCAGGUGGCCCCACCGUGCAGCGUGUCCGUCUCCAGGAGGAGAGUGAGAGUCAGACAGGCAACAGCCCCCUGCUGGAUGAUGACCUCUUGCAGUACUACCACUUCCUGGCCGACAAGGGUGAUGUCCAGGCACAGGUUGUGCUAGGACAGCUGUACUACCAGGGAGGUCGAGGAGUGGCCAUCAACCAUGAGCAGGCUCUGCAGUACUUCCUGAUGGCAGCCGAGUCGGGGAAUGCCAACGCUCUAGCCUACCUGGGCAAGAUGUACACAGAGGGGAGCCCGGUGGUGAAGCAGAACAACAUGACAGCCUUCCACUACUUCAAGAACGCUGCAGACAAGGGCAACCCCGUGGGACAGACUGGCCUUGGCUUGAUGUAUAUGAACGGCAUGGGGGUGGAGAAGGACUUGACGAAGGCAGUGAGAUUCUUCACCAUGGCAGCAGACCAGGGCUGGGUGGAUGGACAACUGCAGCUGGGAAUCAUGCACUUCAGUGGUCUGGGUGUGAGACGAGACUACAAGCUGGCGGUGAAGUAUUUUAACCUAGCGUCACAAGGUGGCCAUGUCCUGGCGUACUACAACCUGGCACAGAUGCAUGCUACAGGGACGGGUGUGCUGCGCAACUGCCACACCGCUGUCGAGCUUUUCAAGAACGUUGCUGAGCGAGGCCGAUGGUCGGAGAUGCUGAUGGAUGCUCAUCGCCUGUACAAAGAAGGACAAGUAGAUGCCUCUCUCAUCAAGUACACCUUCCUGGCAGAGCUUGGGUAUGAAGUAGCACAGUCCAACGUCGCCUACAUUCUCGAUAAUGGUGAGAGUAAACUGUUUGAGGAUUUUGAAGUACACCAGAGGGCGCUGUUACAGUACACACGGGCUGCAUCUCAAGGUUCUACAUGGGCCAGAGUGAGGAUGGGGGACUACCACUACUAUGGGUUCGGGACAGACAUCGACUAUGAGUCGGCAGCCAACCACUACCGCGUGGCCUCCGAGCAGCAGCACAGUGCGCAGGCCAUGUUCAACCUGGGCUACAUGCACGAGAGAGGCCUUGGACUCCGACAGGAUGUUCAUCUGGCAAAACGCUUCUAUGACCUGGCAGCAGAGACGAGCAUGGACGCCCAGGUACCAGUAACCCUGGCACUUGUCAAACUUGGACUCUUCUACGGCUUUGAUGUCUUCAACAAAGAGAUUGAGUAUUACCAAGGUAUAUUCGCCCGCCUGGACCCGCGGUUGUACCUGGGGCCUGAUUGGGAUCUCUACAUCAUCACGCUUCUGUCUCUGGUUCUUGGACUUCUUAUUUUACUACGGCGCGCCAGGUAACACAGCGAAGGGGCAACUCGUUGACACGGAUAUCUGUAAAUUUACAUUUUUGUACAUUGUAAAUAAAUGUAAAUACUGCCAUAGUAAUUAAUUAAAGAUUUUAUUGUUUUACAAGAUUUGCUCUGUCAAGCGAGAUUAUUUUAUUUAUUCCUGAUCACACAUCUUGCUUUUUUAGUUCUUAAGUAUUACCUUAUAUAAUUAUGCAGAAAAAACACAAUUUUUUUUUUUUUUUUUCCUGGAUAUUUAAUGCAUUAACUAUUGUUAACUAUUGUCAAUGAACGGAACAUUUAUGCUGUAAUGCAUCAAUCCUUUGAUAAUCCGGGGUGUAGGGGAGAGGGAACUGGGUGGCCAAGAUUUUGUAUUGAAAUUAGAUAUUUUUUCAGCUACAGCUACAAAGCCCGAUAUUUUUUUAUGUUGAAACAAUGUCAUUUUCUAAAGGCAUUUCUUUUUUCAACAGUCUGAAGAAUAAUUAUUUUUUUGAGGAAUUUUGGGGGCACAAUUUAUUUUGUUUGAUAAAAUCACAGCCCCCACCUCCCCACACACAGACAAAAUAUCAAAUGGUCUGUCCCUAAGUAACUGUGAGAAAUAAAUUAAAGUAUGACAUUCCUAGUAAUUAAAAGAGAAAAGCGCAGAUCGCUUUAUUGUUUAUGUAUUUGGCAGCUGAUCAUGCUGGUAACUUCUCGUGUUGGGUUCGUACUCAGUCUUGAUUGUGGUGAUGAGUUGUAGAUUGGGAAUACUGUAAAUCUUGAAAUUAACGCGAGCGUGAAUUAAAUGCGAAAAAUGCGAGUGGUCUUUGCUCGCAUUAUUAAACAACGCAUUUAUAUCAACAAUAAGAUAUUUUGGACAGCAGAAAUACCAACUCAGACAUAUGCUGAAAACAAACAACUAUGUAUUCCACAUCACACCUGCAAGUCCAGACAGACGCCACCAACGCAACACGGUGUCUUUGUUCUUUGCGACUGCGUCAAAGGCCGACACGAGCCAGCGUGCAUGUAUUGUUUUAGCGGAAGUAUUCUAAUCAGUGCUAAUGAGCGGUGCUAUUUGGUGUGUGAUUGGAUUAAUGUAAGGUUGGAUGAGGAUGAGGAUUCUCCUGUAAACCUGACAGAGGACAUUUUCUUUAGAUAUAAAUCCACUGAUGCUUGAGAGGAGGGGGCUGUCGCAUUCAUAUUGAGUUGCAUUAUUGACUAGGGGCCAGCAGUCGCAUUCUUUUAGAGACGCAUUAAUUUCACGAUUUACAGUGUUCAAUCGCAGCAGUUGUCGACCUAGUGUGAAGUAAAGUCCUCUGAUCAUCCCUUGCCUUUCCUUUUGAUGGGAUUAUAUUUAUUUUAUUUAAUUAUUGCAGUUUGUAUUGUAUGUUUCCUUUAUCUGGGUGUACAAACUAGAACACAUGUUGAGGAAUAAGAUUGAUAUGUGAUGAUAAAUAUUGAUUUAAUGGCGUUUUGUCAUUAUGAUACGAAAAUGAUGAAGUUGAGUGAACAUAGUGUAAUUGGGAUGGAAAAAACGCUGUUAUUUGCACUGGUAUUUGGACAGGUGUCCUUUCUGUGUAUGUGUUCAUCCUGUUAAAAGUUUUUUAUUUUUUUUUUGCCUUUAAGCUGAAAAGCAUGUUUCCAUGAAGGUGUACUGUGUAAUUGAUCCUGUGUAUUGUCACACAAUUGUAUGUGUAUAUGUUGAAUGAAUUGUAGACAUGAGUUGUUAAGGAUAGCUGAAUGUUUCAUGGUUUUCAGAAUUCAUUUAUCGUCAACACUACUUAGGUUUUGUGUACACUACACUCAUCCCCAAUACAUACGUCCAAUUACCGGUGUAGUGUCUAAUAAGGGAGAACCCUCCACCAACCCACAAACCCUGAAAAUCAAAUGGUUUCUCCCUAACCAACUAAUCAAGACACGACUUUGUUCAAGUGAGUGGGAGGGCGGUCGGGUAGCCUUGAUGUUAAAGCGUUUGCUCGUCAGGCUGAAGACCCUGGUUUGAUUCCUGACUUGGGUACAAUAUGUGAAGCCCAUUUGCUGUGUCCCCUGCCUUGAUAUUCCUGGAAUAUUGCUAAAAGUGGCAUAAAACCAUACUCACUCAUUGCAUAGCCCAACGUGAGAUUGGCAUCAUAGCCUUUCAGUCAUCUUCAAUAGCAUGCUCAUUCACUCAAAUGAGUCGGAAACAACCGGGUUGCAUAGCCCAACGUGAGAUCGGUAUCGUAGCCUUUGUCAUCUUCAAUAGUAUGCUCAUUCACUCAAAUGAGUCGGAAACAACCGGGUUGCAUAGCCCAACGUGAGAUUGGCAUCGUAGCCUUUCAGUCGUCUUCAAUAGCAUGCAAUGGUAGGAUUCCGAAAAAGCAUGCAUUAUAAACGGCCUCAUUCCAUUAUGUGACUAAAAGUAGACCCUUCACUAUUACACCGCAGAGUGGCCGUAUGUAUUCACAGGUGAAGGAAGAACAUAGUUUACUUGUAUACAAGCCCAUGCGGUAUUGACAUACAGAGAUGUAACUUUUUGCCUUGCUUGCUUUUGUUUCACUCUUCAUCAUUUUCACCUAUUGUAACUACGACUUGAUCGUUUAAUCAGUUUCAAGUCUGUCAUAAUGGAGUUUUGUCUGUGAGGAUGUAUGGAUUAACAUGGAAAACUUACAGAUGUACCCUCACUGUAUGGAAGUUGUGUGUGUGUAUGAUAUAAAAAUGAAACAGAAUGUUUAUUUGGAA